AAUCCUCGAGAGUGGCGAACGGGUGAGUAAUACAUCGGAACGUGCCCAGUCGUGGGGGAUAACGUAGCGAAAGCUACGCUAAUACCGCAUACGACCCGAGGGUGAAAGCGGGGGACUCGCAAGAGCCUCGCGCGAUUGGAGCGGCCGAUGGCAGAUUAGGUAGUUGGUGGGGUAAAGGCCCACCAAGCCUGCGAUCUGUAGCUGGUCUGAGAGGACGACCAGCCACACUGGGACUGAGACACGGCCCAGACUCCUACGGGAGGCAGCAGUGGGGAAUUUUGGACAAUGGGCGAAAGCCUGAUCCAGCCAUACCGCGUGCGGGAAGAAGGCCUUCGGGUUGUAAACCGCUUUUGUCAGGGAAGAAAUACUUCGGGCUAAUACCCUGGGGUGAUGACGGUACCUGAAGAAUAAGCACCGGCUAACUACGUGCCAGCAGCCGCGGUAAUACGUAGGGUGCAAGCGUUAAUCGGAAUUACUGGGCGUAAAGCGUGCGCAGGCGGUUCUAUAAGACAGAUGUGAAAUCCCCGGGCUCAACCUGGGAACUGCAUUUGUGACUGUAGAGCUAGAGUACGGUAGAGGGGGGAAUGGAAUUCCGCGUGUGGCAGUGAAAUGCGUAGAUAUUGCGGAGGACCACCGAUUGGCGAAGGGCAUCCCCUGGACCUGUACUGACGCUCAUGCACG
rnacentral:rRNA from 1 species